rnacentral:misc_RNA from 1 species
GCGAUGACUGGUGAAGAAAAAAUUGGUGAAAAACGCGUCAAUGUCAAUUCUGCGACAGCCGGCUCAGCGAACGUAGGAAAGAAUGUGCCAAAUAAAAGAGAGAAAAAAGAGAACGGGAGACGACGAAAGUGGCGCAAGGAGGAAGAUCAACAGGAAGCGACGAGUCUCGAAGAAAUUUCAUAAUCGAACGAAAUUCAACGAAUGGAUAUUGAAA